GAAAAGCGGGGCAGCAUCAAACCCCUCCCACUGGGGCAACCUGCUGAGCAUCUCCCUGGCCUUGGCCCCUGGCCAUACCACACAAGUGUCCAAUGAGUCACUGAUCCUGAAGAACAAGAGAAGACUGACCACAGACCCCAAAAGGAAGCAGGAAUACAACCUUCGAAGUUGGUGGCCAACAAGAGGUCAGAGGUUGACAAGCAUCCACACAGCUCUAAGACUAGCAUCAUGUGGCUACCCAGGACCUGGGAGCAGUGCUGCAGAGCAGGAGCAGGAAAGGGACCAGCUGUUCCCAUAGAAUUCAAUGUCACAAGUCUGGGAGCCAGGGGGCCUUGGUUCUAGUCCCAACUCUCCCUCUAAGUUGUCUUAUGGCCACAGCAAGGAACCAAGACAAUGAGAAGUAGCGAGUACAGUUGAGGAGGCCUUGUCUGAGGAGGAGGCAAGUUUUCAUGAAGAUGCAGCAGAUCAUCUGGGAGAAAUUGAGAAUGAGGAAGGACUUGAUAAUAGGGCAUCUCGGUUCUGCUGAACACUCCUGAAUAAAGGGGAGGCCACAAGUCCCCACAUCUGGAUAAGGAGCCCAGUUGGUGGGCAUGGAACGGACCUUGACACAGAAGAGAAUGGAGAUAUGGGAGCCAUGUCCUGGAACCCUGGCUUGGUGUUGAAAUAAAUUAGAAGCUGACUUGCUGUGCAGCUGAUAAAGCUUCCACUUCGGGGCCCUUCAGUUGCGUGGGCCUUUCCCAAGACCCCAGGGAAGGGCUUAGCAAUGUGCUCACAUGGUCUGAUGUUCUUAUAUGCAAACAAUUUUUUUAGAGAUAUCUUAAGUAUGCUUGCUCAACACCUCUGUCCACUUCUGCCUUCCCUCCAUCCUUCUUCUUCUUCUUGCCUUGAGUGUGUUUGGAGAUCACGGGGGCUUUGAGGCUCCAUCUAAGAGGAAGUUAAACGGAAGAUCCAGUUAGCUGGGUUUCAUGGGAUAUAUUUGUGAGGUUCACAGUCACUGUUGUGUCGGGUUAAGUUACUGCUAGCUGUCCCAGUAUGGAGUAGAUUCCAGGAAUACUCCUGUGGCCCCCGUGCUGACCUGCCCUGCAGUGAUGUGAUUGUACAGGGCCAGGUCAUAUUGUGAUCAGGACGUGGCCUAUGUACUGGCACUGUAUGGCUGGAUAGUGGAAGAGAAGCUAGUAUAAACAUGUGCAGACCAAAACUGGUCUGUGGAAAAUUCUCCCUAUCAUCGGACAUGUACAAAGCUAAGCAGAGGAUUCUAUUUUCAAAACACCUGAAGCAGAGGAUUCUAUUUUCAAAACACCUGCUCAAAACGGAAGAGCUCUCCUGUCAGUAGACUCCAUCAUCCACUGUCUAAAACAAUAAAAGUCCUGUACAAUAUUUUUCUUUGUUAAUGGACAUCAGUGAAGUGACUUGUUCAGGCUUCUCAUGUGUGUAGAGCACAGACCUAUGCCAGUACUACAAACAGGGAGUGAGUUUGUGUGCAAAGUUAUAUGCCUUAUGGCCGGGUGUGGUGGCCCGUGCCUUUAAUCUCAGCACUUUGGGAGGCCAAGGUGGAUGGAACACUUGAAGCCAGGAGUUCGAGACCAGCCUGGCUAACAUGAUGAAACUCUGUAUCUACUAAAAAUACAAAAAAAUUAGCCUGGCAUGGUGGCACGUGCCUAUAAUCCCAACUACUCGGGAGACUGAAGCAGGAGAACUGCUUGA